UAGUAAUAGUUAUGUUCUUGAAAAUUAAAAAAAUUGGCGGUAUUUUAGUCUAUUUAGAGGAACCUGUCCUAUAAUCGAUAAUCCACGAUUUGAUUUACUUAUUAUUUGAGUUUGCAUAUCGCCGUAGGUUGAAUAUUUUUAUAGAAUAAGUAAUGUUCAAUAAGUUUAUAAGAAAAAAAUUCAGGUCAAGAUGUAGCGUAUUAAUAAGAAGAGAUGGGUUACAAUGAAUAAAUUUAUAAUGGAUUAAUAAAUUUAAUUUUAUGAUGAAGGUGGAUUUAAAAGUAAU
rnacentral:rRNA from 1 species